AGUGAACGCUGGCGGUAGGCCUAACACAUGCAAGUCGAACGGCAGCACAGUAAGAGCUUGCUCUUACGGGUGGCGAGUGGCGGACGGGUGAGGAAUACAUCGGAAUCUACUUUUUCGUGGGGGAUAACGUAGGGAAACUUACGCUAAUACCGCAUACGACCUACGGGCGAAAGCAGGGGAUCUUCGGACCUUGCGCGAUUGAAUGAGCCGAUGUCGGAUUAGCUAGUUGGCGGGGUAAAGGCCCACCAAGGCGACGAUCCGUAGCUGGUCUGAGAGGAUGAUCAGCCACACUGGAACUGAGACACGGUCCCGACUCCUACGGGAGGCAGCAGUGGGGAAUAUUGGACAAUGGGCGCAAGCCUGAUCCAGCCAUACCGCGUGGGUGAAGAAGGCCUUCGGGUUGUAAAGCCCUUUUGUUGGGAAAGAAAAGCAGCAGGUUAAUACCCCGCUGUUCUGACGGUACCCAAAGAAUAAGCACCGGCUAACUUCGUG
rnacentral:rRNA from 1 species